GAUGAACGCUAGCUACAGGCUUAACACAUGCAAGUCGAGGGGAAACGAUAUUGGAAGCUUGCUUCCGAUAGGCGUCGACCGGCGCACGGGUGAGUAACGCGUAUCCAACCUGCCCAUCACUUGGGGAUAACCUUGCGAAAGUAAGACUAAUACCCAAUGACGUCUCUAGAAGACAUCUGAAGGAGAUUAAAGAUUUAUCGGUGAUGGAUGGGGAUGCGUCUGAUUAGCUUGUUGGCGGGGUAACGGCCCACCAAGGCGACGAUCAGUAGGGGUUCUGAGAGGAAGGUCCCCCACAUUGGAACUGAGACACGGUCCAAACUCCUACGGGAGGCAGCAGUGAGGAAUAUUGGUCAAUGGGCGAGAGCCUGAACCAGCCAAGUAGCGUGCAGGAUGACGGCCCUAUGGGUUGUAAACUGCUUUUAUAAGGGAAUAAAGUGGGAGUCGUGACUCUUUUUGCAUGUACCUUAUGAAUAAGGACCGGCUAAUUCCGUGCCAGCAGCCGCGG
rnacentral:rRNA from 1 species